rnacentral:rRNA from 1 species
AUUCCAGCUCCAAUAGCGUAUACUAAAGUUGCUGCAGUUAAAAAGCUCGUAGUUGGAUUUCUGGUCGUGGUCGCCGGUCGUGCCCAAACGGGUUCUGUACCUGGCGCCCGCGUCCAUCCUCGGGGAGAGCGUGUCUGGCAUUAAGUUGUCGGGCUCGGGACCCCCGUCAUUUACUGUGAGCAAAAUAGAGUGUUCAAAGCAGGCUUAGGCCAUGAAUACAUUAGCAUGGAAUAAUAAGAUAAGACCUUGGUCUAUUUUGUUGGUUUGCAUUCCAAGGUAAUGAUUAAUAGGGAUAGUUGGGGGUAUUCGUAUUUAAUUGUCAGAGGUGAAAUUCUUGGAUUUAUGAAAGACGAACUUCUGCGAAAGCAUUUACCAAAGAUGUUUUCAUUA